rnacentral:rRNA from 1 species
UUGAACGCUGGCGGCAUGCCUAACACAUGCAAGUCGAACGGCAACAUGAUUUGUAGCAAUACAAAUUGAUGGCGAGUGGCGGACGGGUGAGUAAACGCGUAGGAAUCUGCCCUGUAGAGGGGGACAAACCCGGGGAAACCCGGGCUAAUACCGCAUAAUACUCUGAGGAGGAAAGCUUCCCGGACUUGAUCCGGGAGGCGCUAUGGGAGGAGCCUGCGUCCGAUUAGCUAGCUGGUGAGGUAAAGGCUCACCAGGGCGAUGAUCGGUAACUGGUCUGAGAGGAUGAUCAGUCACAACUGGGACUGAGACACGGCCCAGACUCCUACGGGAGGCAGCAGUGGGGAAUAUUGGACAAUGGGGGGAAACCCUGAUCCAGCAAUGCCGCGUGUGUGAAGAAGGCCUUCGGGUUGUAAAGCACUUUAGACGGGGAAGAAGAUUUGGUGUAGAGCCAAGUUUGACGGUACCCGCAGAAUAAGCACCGGCUAACUCUGUGCCAGCAGCCGCGGUAAUACAGAGGGUGCGAGCGUUAAUCGGAAUUACUGGGCGUAAAGGGGCGCGUAGGCGGAAGAUUAAGUGAGAUGUGAAAUCCCCGGGCUUAACCUGGGAACUGCAUCUUAAACUGAUUUUCUAGAGUAUUGUAGAGGAUAGUGGAAUUUCCGGUGUAGCGGUGAAAUGCGUAGAUAUCAAGCGGAACACCGGUGGCGAAGGCGGCCUUCUGGACAGUGACUGACGCUGAGAUGCGAAAAGCGUGGGGGAGCAAACAGGAUUAGAUACCCUGGUAGUCCACGCCCGUAAACGAUGAGUGCUAGGCGUCACGGGCUUUGACCCUCGUGGUGCCGAAGCUAAACGCGUUAAGCACUCCGCCUGGGGAGUACGGCCGCAAGGCUAAAACUCAAAGGAAUUGACGGGGGGCCCGCACAAGCGGUGGAGCAUGUUUGUUUAUUAAUUCGACGCAAACGCGAAGAAACCUUACCUGGGCUAGAAAAACACGAGAAUCCCGGCGAAAGUUGGGAGUGCCCUUCGGGGAACUCGUGGUUAGGUGCUGCAUGGCUGUCGUCAGCUCGUGUCGUGAGAUGUUGGGUUAAGUCCCCGCAACGAGCGCAAACCCCUGCCGUUAGUUGCCAUCAUUCAGUUGGGCACUCUAACGGGACUGCCGACCUUCAAGUCGGAGGAAGGUGGGGGAUGACGUCAAGUCAUCAUGGCCCCUUACGUCCAGGGCUACAAAAACGUGCUACAAUGAUCGGUACAGAGGGUAGCGAACCCGCGAGGGGAAGCCAAUCUCAAAAAAGCCGGUCUCAGUACGGAUAGGAGUCUGCAACUCGACUCCUUGAAGUCGGAAUCGCUAGUAAUCGCUGAUCAGCAUGGCAGCGGUGAAUGCGUUCCCGGGCCUUGUACACACCGCCCGUCACACCAUGGGAGUCGAUUGCUCCAGAAGUGGCUGCGCCAACCCGCAAGGGAGGCAGGUCCCCCAAGGAGUGAUCGGUAACUGGGGUG